rnacentral:rRNA from 1 species
UACGUAGGUGGCGAGCGUUGUCCGGAUUUACUGGGCGUAAAGCGCGCGCAGGCGGACUGAUCAGUCUGGGGUGAAAUCUCACGGCUCAACUGUGAGCGGUCCCUGGAUACUGUCAGUCUUGAGAUGUCUAGAGGAGAGCGGAAUUCCCGGUGUAGUGGUGGAAUGCGUAGAUAUCGGGAAGAACACCAGUGGCGAAGGCGGCCUUCUGGACAGUGACUGACGCUGAGGAGCGAAAGCAUGGGGAGCGAACAGG